UACGUAGGGUGCGAGCGUUAAUCGGAAUUACUGGGCGUAAAGCGUGCGCAGGCGGUUCGCCAAGUCAGGUGUGAAAUCCCCGGGCUUAACCUGGGAAUUGCGCUUGAAACUAGCGGGCUUGAGUGUGGGCAGAGGGGGGUGGAAUUCCACGUGUAGCAGUGAAAUGCGUAGAGAUCCGGAGGAACACCAGAGGCGAAAGCGGCGCUCUGGGCUGCACCUGACGCUGAACUGCGAAAGCCAGGGGAGCGAACGGG
rnacentral:rRNA from 1 species